rnacentral:rRNA from 1 species
AACGUAGGAGACAAACGUUAUCCGGAGUUACUGGGCGUAAAGGGCGUGUAGGUGGUUGUGUAAGUUCGGCGUGAAAUCUCUCGGCUUAACCGGGGAACUGCGUCUGAUACUGGAUGGCUUGAGUUCGGGAGAGGGAUGCGGAAUUCCAGGUGUAGCGGUGAAAUGCGUAGAUAUCUGGAGGAACACCGGUGGCGAAGGCGGCAUCCUGGACCGAUACUGACGCUGAGGAGCGAAAGCCAGGGGAGCAAACGGG